GGACAGCUAGAGGAGCAGAGUCAGAGUGCUUCUAGUGAUAUACAUGAGCUCCGAGAACAGAUGACUUAGAUGACAGGGAUGAUGGGUAGUUAUGUGAGUUGUUAGCACAGUAGGUUAGUAUUUCACAGCAGAGAUUAGUACGGGAUGCUCCGCCAUUGAGUUUUCUGGUAGAUGCUCCUAGAGUAGUGGUACCCUCGGUAGAGACUGUUACUGAGAGAUUGAGACUGAUUGGGGUAAUGACAGAGGGCAGACCGAAGAUGUUAGAAGCAGAGCAGGAGAGAGCACGUGCAAGACUGGCUGAGUUUAGGAGAUUCGGUCUGCCCAGGUUCAGUGG
rnacentral:lncRNA from 1 species